rnacentral:rRNA from 1 species
AUGAACGCUGGCGGCGUGCCUAAUACAUGCCAGUCGAGCGAACGGACGAGAAGCUUGCUUCUCUGAUGUUAGCGGCGGACGGGUGGGUAACACGUGGAUAACCUACCUAUAAGACUGGGAUAACUUCGGGAAACCGUAGCUAAUACCGGAUAAUAUUUUGAACCGCAUGGUUCAAAAGUGAAAGACGGUCUUGCUGUCACUUAUAGAUGGAUCCGCGCUGCAUUAGCUAGUUGGUAAGGUAACGGCUUACCAAGGCAACGAUGCAUAGCCGACCUGAGAGGGUGAUCGGCCACACUGGAACUGAGACACGGUCCAGACUCCUACGGGAGGCAGCAGUAGGGAAUCUUCCGCAAUGGGCGAAAGCCUGACGGAGCAACGCCGCGUGAGUGAUGAAGGUCUUCGGAUCGUAAAACUCUGUUAUUAGGGAAGAACAUAUGUGUAAGUAACUGUGCACAUCUUGACGGUACCUAAUCAGAAAGCCACGGCUAACUACGUG